rnacentral:lncRNA from 1 species
CCUGGUUUUUAGGGCUACAUCUGCGGCACAUGGAAGUUCCCAAGCUAAGGGUUGAAUCGGAGCUGUAGCCUCUGGCCUAUGCCACAGCCCCGCAAUGCAAGAACCAAGCUGUCUCUGUGACCUAUACCACAGCUCACGGCAACGCCAGAUCCUUAACCCGCUGAGCGGGGCCAGGGAUAGAACCCUCAUCUUCAAGGAUACUGGUCAGGUUCAUAACCCGAUAAGCCACAGUGGGAACUCCUUUAAGUCCUCAGUUUUGUCCACCAAAUAAAACAUGAUUCUCAACCUUUAGCUUUUUUCAGUUGACAGGACUCUCCCCUACCUUGCAGAGCAGACGUGGGGUCAGCGGUCGUCUGGCAUCAUCUGUGCGCAGCAGGCCCAGGUCAACCCCAUGACUGCCCUCGCUGGCCCAUGGGUUGUUGGAAGGGGGCCUGCUUUGCGGACUGUACCACCAAUGGUGGUGGGCACCUGAUCAUGCCCCUGGUGAAGGCAGGCAGAAUGGGAGACCAAGUGUGCGGACAGAUGGGCAGACAUGGGGUGUUUCAAAAAGGCCUGACCUCCCACCCUGGGCCCCUCCUUGCCACACCAGGCCCAGCCCUGAAUCCUGGGCUCUGGGGUUUCCUCUUGGCAGUGAUUUCUUUUAAGGCAGGACAGAAUGUGCUGAAUCAUCCCCCCUCACCACUUGCGGCAGCAACCGAGCCCCCGCGGGCCCCACAGGGGACUAACAGGCUGAGCCUAUCCCAGAGCUGGGAUGGAGCCUGUGCCCCAGCACCUCAAUCGGCUGGACCUGACAAUGCCCAGGAGGAGAAGAAGGGCUCCUGGCAGCCUGGCCCUGGCCCCAGUGUUCUAGAGACGGCAGCCCAGGCGGGGCUGGGGGAGCUCAGUGGGGGAGAAGAGGAAAAAAUGUUCACACCAGUCUACACUUGGCGGGUAACCAGGGAGGUGGGUGCCACCCCAGCUCGAGGGGCCUCCCAGCCACCGUCACCUAGAGACAAGGAUCUGUGACGUGGGAGCUAAGGGCUGGCUCUGGAGAUCCUGCCGGCAUUCAGCUUCCAACACAGCGCUCCACACCCACCACCGGGCAGCACCCAUGCCGGGCCUAUCUCUGCUGCCAGGGUGCAGACGUGGGGCUGCCAGGUACCCAGGCCUCUCGAGACACCUGCAGGUUUUGGGCACGUCUGGGGCUAGAUCCCACUCCAACUCUUAUGAGCUGUUAGUCUGCUGCCAACCACCCACCCUAACUCUCAGGUGCCAGCUCUGUGACAACAGCGCCUACGACAAACGCUUCCGAGAGGACUGAAUGGACUCAGGACGGGGGCACUCGGCAUGGACGCAGGCAUCACCCAGAAUUCUCAGCUGGUGUCCAAGACGAGGAAACAAGACCCUUGGGGACAACCAGGGAAGUCGCCCAGGGUGACGGGGAGGAGCCGCAGAGCACAGGGCACCUCUGGCUGGUGGUCCCUGAAGGGAUGGACAGAGUGGUUUGGAACCCGAGAGGCACUGCAGGCAGGACCCCUGGCUGAUCCCACACCUGUAGGGAUCAGGAGGGGCACUUAGAAGACGGGCUGGGUACAGAUCCCAUUCUCUGGCCUCAGCUCUGGACCCAAGGGAUUCCUAGCUGGCAGCCAGGCUGGGGGCAGCGGGGGAGUGCGGGUGGCGGGCACAGCAGGCACGCCACAUCUCUGCUCAUCCUCACUGAGAGGGCUGGGGCCCAGCCCCUCACCCACCACUGCUGUCCCAGGACCCCUCCCACCCCCUCCACACCCACCACCAGGGCAGCACCCACACCGGGCCCAUGUCUGGUGGGCAGCACCCACAGCAAGGCCACCUGCUGCCCCUCGCUCCUGACUGCCCUUAGAACCUGGUGUGUGGCCUUCCAGGUGGGAGCUACUCCUCCAGCGGGUCUGGCAGCACUGGCAGCUGCCUCAGCAGCAGCAGGGAGGGGUGGCCUUCCUGCCAGACGGCCCCAUUUCCCGGGAGCCAAGGGAAGGCUGGGCACACCCAAGCGUCAGCCUCCUGUCCCAGUGCUCUGUCACAACCUCACCCCUGAGACCACAGCACCCACGCCGUGGACCAGGGAGGACCGAAGGAACAAGCCCGUGCGGCCCUCAGCCAGGCUCAAGAAAAGCGUGAUCUCGACCGCGGAGGCUGAACCCUUCCAGGAAGGGCUGGUCCAGGGCCCCUGCCGCCUGAAGCAUCCUGAACCCAUUCUCACCCCCCUUCACCCCACCGACCUCAUACAAAAGCUGACUCUGAACCCAGCCUCUCACUUGAUCUCUUCCACUCAGCCACUAUGAGGAAUGUAAUUUUUAUUCCUGUUUUCCAGAUGGGAAAGCUGAAGUUCAGGUCAAGCCUGCAAGAGUCAGAACCAAAAGUCAAUGUCUGCUUCCCUUCCAUGUCCCCAGAAGGAAGGGCAGUCUUGGAAAAGGGGCUCAAUGGGUCCCGCUGACCUGUCCCCCUACCUGGCCCACUUGGAGAAGAACUGCCCUUCAAGGUCCCGGGGAUGGGCAAACACCAGACAAGGUCAAAGCCGCCUGGGCUGGGCAGCCUGAGAUGGGAGGCACCAUCAGGCCCCAGAGGUGACCAGUCCAGCUUCCUAAGUUCCCAGGGACUCAACGAGGAAACUCCAAUGUUCCAUUUGAAGCCCAAGAUAUUUGGCCGGCCAGACUUUUCUCCCAAAGAGGAUAAGAGCAGAUAAUAACAAAACAAGGCAGAGACACCUUAAAAGAGAACAGAGCCCCAUUCCCAUCCAGGCUGGCCUUUGUGACAGCAACACCCUAAAUGCACAGAGCUGAUGCCCUCGCCAGGGCCUGCCUGGCCUGCCGGUGUGCAUAUCCCUUUAAGGGCCUCGAAGGCCCGGCUGGAUUUGAUUUAAUAGCUGAAACAUCAGAUUCCAUUCAGAAGCAAUCCCAGCUAAGUAUGAUUGCUUUUGCCGUGUAGAGCUUUCAGCAUUCUUGUCAGCAGCCACUGGGUCAUUGAGGAAAUUAAUUUUUCAGCUCAGGCUGGCUCCUGACGGGGCUCCUGUGACCUGAACUGCACAGGGCUGAGGGCUGGCUCCUCAAGGCUGCAGGAGCCUGGGGUGGGUGUGGGCAGGGAGGGACUGGGCAGAGAAGCACCUUGGAGGCCAGGACCAGCUGGGGCCAGGGUUUUCCUGCAUGACCCUGGCUCUCCCACCCUACCCUGCUUCUCUGAGCCGCUUGGACCCACAUCUCCUGCCUCCCAUGAAUCUGGGGUCCCCAGACAUCACCACCCCAAGGGCCAAGUUGCUGAGGAGGGCUAAGCACCACAAAGAGCACCGAGAUAUGUCC